AUAAUAGGUAUAUAAAUAUUCAUAUUAUAGUAAAAUUGUUGAUCUAUACUAUAUGAUUUCACAAUGAAACAACGUAGAUAUAUAUAUAGGAGGAGAAAACUUGGGGAGUAAGUGUCUUAAAGAUAAAGUAACUUGGUGAGUAAGACUUAUAUAUAAGGAUAAGAUAAGGUCAUAUGAUCUACUUUAAAGAUGGAUAAUCAUCCAUGUUUUCUAACAUGUUUCACUUUAUUGUGCUCAGGACCAGUUAUGUACGUGUAUGUGGAUGAGUUUU
rnacentral:sRNA from 1 species